CCCGCCUAACUCCUCUACCCCACGCCCCCUCGCCCAUCACCCCCGCCUCUGCGGGAGCCCUGGACGUAGGUCGGCGGGGCUCGAGGUGGUUUGACAAGUCACUGCCCACAAGACUGAAGUCAAGGUUCCAGAUGCUAGCAUGAUGCCAACUAGACUUCCCUGGACAGACCACCCCACAAAUGUGUCCUGGAGCUCUGCUUCCCCAGAGCCCUUCCCCAAUAGGGAAAGAGAAAGACAGGCUGGGAGUUUGGAUCGACCUAUCAACAACCAUCUUCAGAAGGGAAGCAAUUACAGAAGCCAGACCUUCAACUUUCUGCAUCCCACGAGGACCUUGGGUCCAUAUUCCAGAGGGUUAAAGAAUAGGAAAGCUGUCAGGGGAGAGGAUGGGAUACAGAGUUCUGGUGGUGGGAACUGUGUGAAGUUGUACCCCUCUUAUCCUUUGGUUUCUUCAAUGUCUCCUUUUUAUAAAUAAAAAGUUUUUUUUUUAUUAAAAAAAAAAAAAAAGCCAGCCUAGGACCCAAUGCCUCAGCGUCCCCAGUCACCUUUAUCACUCAUGGACAUACCAGUUCUCUGCCUUCCCUGAUCCCAGUAACAUGAUCUCCACACAGUAGUUCAAGGGAUCCUAACGUUUCUUCACUCAAAAAUCCACAGUGAUGUCCCUCUUUGCUUGGGAUAAAAACAGCCCUAGGACUGGAGAGGUAGCAUAGGGGGCUGGGCAGUGGCACACUGAAUUAAGCGUACAUAGUACGAAGUGCAUAAGGAUCUUGCAUGGUUCGAGUCCCUGGCUCCCCAUCUUCAGGGAAGUUGCUUCACAACCAGUGUCUCUCUCCCUCUCUAUCAACCCCUCCUUUCUCAGUUUCUCUCAGUCCUAAAAAAAAAAAAAAAAAAAAAAAAAAAAGUAGCUACAGGAGCAGUGGAUUUACAGUGCAGGCACAGAGCCCAAAAAGGAGAGAAAGGUAGCAUAAUGGUUAUGCAAAAAGACUUGGAUGCCUGAGGCUCUAAAAUCCCAGGUGCAAAACCAGAGCUGAACAGAGCUCUAUCCCCUCCCUAUCUAUUUAUCUACCUCUCAUUAAAACAAAGCAAACAUAUAAAUAAAUAAAGAUUAAAAGAAAUAGUCAGGAUCCUUAACAAUCCACAGAAGCCAACAUUAAAAUCACAUGCUCACCUCCUGGUUGAUGCCCUCUGAGGACGCUGUCCUGGCUGCUGUUCCUUGAACUCACCUCAGAACCUGUGCACUGGCUCUUUGCUCCAUUGUAAAGUUCUUCUAGUUCAGUGCCAGGUUCCCAACCUUCAUUCAAAUCAGCAAGGCCUUGCCUGGCCAACCUGUUGAGCCCUGCCCUUCACCUAAAACCUUGCCAACCCCCUGUUUUCUGCUUCACUUUUCCGUAGCAUUUACUCUGAUCAACUACUAGUAGAUUUAUUUUACUUUCCUAUUGUGCCUAGAACAGGGCCACUGGCCAGGCCUAUAGUAGGUGCUCAGCAGUCAUUUGUGGAAAGAAUGAAUAAUGAACUUGAACUAUUUUCAGGACACCCUAUUCCUGUCUAGACCUUUCGUGUGAACAUAGUUAUAAACAGUGUACAGGUUUUACAUUAUGAUUUUGACCGGGCAGAGGGUAGAUAGCAUAAUGGUUAUGCAAACAGACUCGCAAGCCUGAGGCUCCAAAGUCCCAGGUUCAAUUCCCCGCACAACCAUAAGCCAGAGCUGAGCAGUGCUCUGGUUAAAAAAAAUAAAUAGCCCUCACACCUAUGGACAUCUAAUCUUUGACAAAGGGGCCCAGACUAUAUUAAAUGGGGAAAGCAGAGUCUCUUCGACAAAUGGUGUUGGAAACAAUAGGUUGAAACAUGCAGAAGAAUGAAACUGAACCACUGUAUUUCACCAAAUAUAAAAGUAAAUUCCAAGUGGAUCAAGGACUUGGAUGUUAGACCAGAAACUAUCAGAUACUUAGAAGAAAAU